CCCUUAGAUGUCCUGGGCCGCACGCGCGUUACACUGAUGCAUUCAACGAGCUUAUAACCUUGGCCGAGAGGCCUGGGCAAUCUUGUUAACGUGCAUCGUGAUAGGGAUAGAUUAUUGAAAUUAUUAAUCUUGAACGAGGAAUUCCUAGUAAACGCAGAUCAUCAAUCUGCAUUGAUUACGUCCCUGCCCUUUGUACACACCGCCCGUCGCUGCAACUGAUUGGGUGACCUGGUGAACAUCUUGGACCGGCCCACUCAAUUUCGAGAGGACUGGAAAAGGCCGUAAAUCAGGUACAUCUAGAAAUUGCAAGUCGUAACA
rnacentral:rRNA from 1 species